AUUGAACGCUGGCGGCAGGCCUAACGCAUGCAAGUCGAACGAGUGGCGGACGGGUGAGUAAUGUCUGGGAAACUGCCUGAUGGAGGGGGAUAACUACUGGAAACGGUAGCUAAUACCGCAUACCAUCAGAUGUGCCCAGAUGGGUUUAGCUAGUUGGUGGGGUAACGGCUCACCAAGGCGACGAUCCCUAGCUGGUCUGAGAGGAUGACCAGCCACACUGGAACUGGGUCACGGUCCAGACUCCUCCGAGAGUCAGCAGUGGGGAAUAUUGCACAGUGGGAGCAAGCCUGAUACAUCCAUGCCGCGUGUAUUAAGAAGGCCUUCGGGUUGUAAAGUACUUUCAGCGGGGAGGCGUUACCCGCAGAAGAAGCACCGGCUAACUCCGUGCCAGCAGCCGCGGUAAUUC
rnacentral:rRNA from 1 species